GACGAACGCUGGCGGCGUGCUUAACACAUGCCAGUCGAACGGAAAGGCCCUGCUUUUGUGGGGUGCUCGAGUGGCGAACGGGUGAGUAACACGUGAGUAACCUGCCCUUGACUUUGGGAUAACUUCAGGAAACUGGGGCUAAUACCGGAUAGGAGCUCCUGCUGCAUGGUGGGGGUUGGAAAGUUUCGGCGGUUGGGGCUGGACUCGCGGCUUAUCAGCUUGUUGGUGGGGUAGUGGCUUACCAAGGCUUUGACGGGUAGCCGGCCUGAGAGGGUGACCGGCCACAUUGGGACUGAGAUACGGCCCAGACUCCUACGGGAGGCAGCAGUGGGGAAUAUUGCACAAUGGGCGGAAGCCUGAUGCAGCAACGCCGCGUGCGGGAUGACGGCCUUCGGGUUGUAAACCGCUUUCGCCUGUGACGAAGCGUGAGUGACGGUAAUGGGUAAAGAAGCACCGGCUAACUACGUG
rnacentral:rRNA from 1 species